UAAAACAACGAUUUCAUAGCAAAAGAAUGAUUUUGUUUUCUUUUUGUUACGAGUGAGAUGGGAGGCAGCCAUGGAGAAAUAUGUUCCGAAAUAGUGUACAGUAGGUGUUAGAUGCUGACUCACUGGUCCCCACAGAUCUCCUCCUCCUGAAAUGAAUCAUAACAUAGCAUAAAGAAGAAUACAUGCCCUCUUUUGAGUUGCCUUUUCUUAAACAAGGUACUACAAAAACCUGCAAAACCCAUAUGCCCAAAAUGAUUAUGGGAGAUUAUGGCUGCCACACCACGUGCUGAAACCCAAACAGAAGAGAGAUAUAGUACAAUAUUCAAGCAAAAUGAGUCAACAGAAACAAUCAGUCUUCCUCCAAAGGCCGUUUUAAAGAGCCAUUUGAAACAUUGACAAAGAACAGUGCACAAUGCAAAGGUCAGGGGAGCAGAGUCCCUGGACUGAAUCACUGAGCAUUCCCCCGACAUUGCCAGAAGCUCCCCUGUAUGAUCUAAGAGACAUAUGAGACCCUAGAAUAUGGGCCAGCCUAUGAACCCCAAGUCUGGCUCUGCGCGACACUACAGUAAUAUUACUAAUGCAACAUAUAGCAAAAUGAUGACACCCCUGCCCCACAAAGGCAAGGUCUGACUUCUUGCUGCAACAUCUGUAUGCCAUGGGAUGCUUUCUAUUCCAAACCCCUUUUUCAUGCUGUGGGACAGGG